rnacentral:rRNA from 1 species
UGCCAGCCGCCGCGGUAAUACGGAGGGUGCUAGCGUUGUUCGGAAUUACUGGGCGUAAAGCGUGCGUAGGCGGUUUGUCAAGUUGGGAGUGAAAUCCCGGGGCUCAACCUCGGAAUUGCUCUCAAAACUGGCAAACUAGAGUAUGGUAGGGGAUAGUGGAAUUCUUAGUGUAGGGGUGAAAUCCGUAGAUAUUAAGAGGAACACCAGAGGCAAAGGCGACUAUCCGGGCCAUUACUGACGCUAAGGCACGAAAGCGUGGGGAGCGAACGGGAUUAGAUA